rnacentral:ribozyme from 1 species
ACAUACUCCUGUUCAAAGAGAAACACAGGAACAGAUGAUAAAAGACUAUCGGGCUAAAAUAGCGGCCGGAGAAAAGUAAUCAAUAACAGUAUGUAUCUAAGUCUUAUUUUGGUGUACUAUAUGUAGUCUUUUUUUUUUUUUAACCUUGAUAUUAUUUAGUGCAUAUCUGGCAACGGCAAGGAAGAGGGGUAAUCUAAGAAUUAUAAUUUUAGAGAAAAUAAAUCUUAAUGAUAUAAUAGUUUAGACAAUAAAUUAAAAUGAUCAAUUGAGGAAAAAAAAAAA